AUGAUGAAAAGCAACGGCAUGUCGGUUGCUGUUUACGCUCUGACCACAAAGGACAACAAGCUAUACCCAAAUGGAAUUCCUUGCUGGAGGGCUCUAUUUGGCCCAUAUUUUGCGACAGAUUCUUCUGGAUGUUCGAUCCAAACAAGCUCCCCUACAAAAUGGAAAGAAUGCCAGAAAUUAAUGACAAUACUCGAUGACAACAAUGGGUGGUGCGUCUAUGAGGUUGACAUAGCUGCUCGCACGCUCCAUGUAAUGGAUCCAAUGAUGACCACAUCAAACGAGGGGAGUAUGGAGAGGAAACACCAGAAAAACGCUAAAUACAUGCUUCACUGCCUGUGCAAGUGCCUCCGUGAAUGGUAUCCAAACUGGCAUUUCUCUACAUUUCAAUGGACUUACAAGUACAACUACGGCAUGCACCCCAGCUGCAGCAGGAAAUAG
rnacentral:rRNA from 1 species